rnacentral:snRNA from 1 species
AUUGGCUACCAUGCCUGCCUCGCCUAUACUAAAAUCUAUACUAAAAUUGGAAUGAUAUAAAGAUUUGCAUUGCUCCUGUGCAAGGUUGGUACACAAAUUUGUGGAAUAGUCCAUAUUUUU